GUUGAUAGGUCGGGUGUGUAAGCGUAGCGAUACGUUGAGCUAACCGAUACUAAUGAACCGUGAGGCUUAACCUUACAACGCCGAAG
rnacentral:rRNA from 1 species